CGCUGCUAUCCGGCUGGGACUAAGCCAUGCGAGUCAUGGGGCGCGGGCUCUUCGGAGUCCGCGCACCGGCGGACGGCUCAGUAACACGUGGCCAACCUGCCCUCGGGAGGGGGAUAACCCCGGGAAACUGGGGCUAAACCCCCAUAGGGGAUGGGUGGUGGAAUUCCCCCAUCCCCGAAAGUGUGCCGUUCCCGUAAGGGGCGGCACAGCCCGAGGAUGGGGCUGCGGCGGAUUAGGUAGUUGGCGGGGUAAUGGCCCGCCAAGCCGAAGAUCCGUACGGGCCAUGAGAGUGGGAGCCCGGAGAUGGACCCUGAGACAAGGGUCCAGGCCCUACGGGGCGCAGCAGGCGCGAAACCUCCGCAAUGCGGGAAACCGCGACGGGGUCAGCCGGAGUGCCCGCGCAUCGCGCGGGCUGUCGGGGAGCCUAAACAGCUCCCCAUAGCAAGGGCCGGGCAAGGCCGGUGGCAGCCGCCGCGGUAAUACCGGCGGCCCGAGUGGCGGCCACUAUUAUUGGGCCUAAAGCGUCCGUAGCCGGGCUGGUAAGUCCCCCGGGAAAUCUGGCGGCUUAACCGUCAGACUUC
rnacentral:rRNA from 1 species